AGGGUAUCACAGAAGGUGUUUGAGAUAUCAUUUUCUUUUCCCAAUGGUUCACAAUAUGUUUGUGAGCAAUCAUACUAUUUUCUUAGAAAUAGUGGAAGGAUGAACUCAAAGAGAAAAUUUUUAAAGAAGAACGAGUCACAAGACCUUACAACUAUGUAAGAUGAGCCAAUAUAUAUAGCACUUCCUCCACCUCGUAGAUCUAGUAGGAUCUUCUAUCUUUUAGAAAGAUACUUGGUAUUCUUAUAAAGGAUUUAGAGAAAGUAUUUUCGAGGG
rnacentral:lncRNA from 1 species